AUUGAACGCUAGCGGGAUGCUUUACACAUGCAAGUCGAACGCGUGGCGGACGGGUGCGUAAUAUAUCGGAACGUGCCCAGUAGCGGGGGAUAACUAAUCGAAAGAGUGGCUAAUAACGCAUACUAGUGGCGCGGGCGAUAUCGGAUUAGCUAGUUGGUGGGGGAAAUUCUCACCAAGGCAACGAUCCGUAGCUGGUUUGAGAGGACGACCAGCCACACUGGGACUGAGACACGGCCCAGACUCCUACGGUAGUCAGCAGUGGGGAAUUUUGGACAAUUGUGGAAACCCUGAUCCAGCCAUCCCGCGUGUAUGAGAAGGCCUUCGGGUUGUAAAGUACUUUUGGCAGAGAAGCGGUAUCUGCAGAAUAAGCACCGGCUAACUACGUGCCAGCAGCCGCGGUAAUUC
rnacentral:rRNA from 1 species